rnacentral:rRNA from 1 species
UACGGGGGCGGCAAGCGUUGUCCGGAUUUAUUGGGUUUAAAGGGUGCGUAGGCGGUCCAUUAAGUCAGCAGUGAAAUACGGCAGCUUAACUGUCGAGGUGCUGUUGAUACUGGUGGACUUGAGUACUGAUGAGGUAGGCGGAAUGGACGGUGUAGCGGUGAAAUGCUUAGAGAUCGUCCAGAACACCGAUAGCGAAGGCAGCUUACUAAAGAGUAACUGACGCUGAGGCACGAAAGUGUGGGGAUCAAGCAGG